rnacentral:rRNA from 1 species
AAUAGGGGAGCCGGAGGGAAACCGAGUCUUAAUUGGGCGUUAAGUUGCAGGGUAUAGACCCGAAACCCGGUGAUCUAGCCAUGGGCAGGUUGAAGGUUGGGUAACACUAACUGGAGGACCGAACCGACUAAUGUUGAAAAAUUAGCGGAUGACCUGUGGCUGGGGGUGAAAGGCCAAUCAAACCGGGAGAUAGCUGGUUCUCCCCGAAAGCUAUUUAGGUAGCGCCUCGUGAAUUCAUCUCCGGGGGUAGAGCACUGUUUCGGCUAGGGGGCCAUCCCGGCUUACCAACCCGAUGCAAACUGCGAAUACCGGAGAAUGUUAUCACGGGAGACACACGGCGGGUGCUAACGUCCGUCGUGAAGAGGGAAACAACCCAGACCGCCAGCUAAGGUCCCAAAGUCAUGGUUAAGUGGGAAACGAUGUGGGAAGGCCCAGACAGCCAGGAUGUUGGCUUAGAAGCAGCCAUCAUUUAAAGAAAGCGUAAUAGCUCACUGGUCGAGUCGGCCUGCGCGGAAGAUGUAACGGGGCUAAACCAUG